rnacentral:lncRNA from 1 species
CAGAAUCACAGAAGUCCACUGUGAACACCUCAGAGGAACUGCUGGGCUCCCUAAAGCAAUGGGUUAAGGUAACAUGAAGAAUGGAAUGAUACGAGACAGUCUUACAUAGAGUCUUUUGGAGUCUUUCUCGGCACAAGUAAGGUCUUUAGUAACCACUCCUGACCAUGACAUGAGGCUGUGAACCAGAGGGACUGGGCAUACGAGAAAGGGUGGCAGGACAUCAAGCCAGGCUAAGCGACUGAAAAAGGAGUCUCACAUUAACAGGCAAGAAAUUGAAUUGCA